rnacentral:lncRNA from 1 species
CUGACGGAAUCUAAUGUGAUAUGUCUCCAUAAAACUCUUUACCCUGUAAAUUGUUGGCAUGGAGAUGAUCAUAAUGCCCUUGAAAAUAACAUGUUAAAGACUGAGAAGGGAAGGACUAUAAUAUAA